rnacentral:rRNA from 1 species
AAAUUCUUACGAUCAGAUCGUGGAGGAGAAUACUUAAGUCACGAAUUUGGUACACACUUAAGGAAAUGCGGAAUCGUUUCACAACUCACGCCGCCUGGAACACCUCAGCGAAACGGUGUGUCCGAACGACGUAAUCGCACUCUAUUGGAUAUGGUGCAGUCUAUGAUGUCUCUUACCGAUUUACUGCUAUCAUUUUGGGGAUACGCUCUAGAGACAGCUACAUUCACUUUAAAUAGGGCACCGUCUAAAUCCGUUGAGACGACACCGUAUGAAUUAUGGUUUGGAAAGAAACCUAAGCUGUCGUUUCUAAAAGUUUGGGGAUGCGAUGCUUAUGUCAAG